AUAUCUCAACUUCAGAACCUUUUGGUUUUUCUGAAGCCUUGGAUGUUGGAGGUCUAUGCUGGUGAAAUAACUGGCUCCUCUUAAAUACAUUAGCGGAACUUAAUGGGAUCGGCUUUGGCUUGAUAAUGAUAUCUAUGCUAUCGCUGAGAAGCCAUACUGUUCUGCUUCCAACUGUCCCUUUCUGGGACUGCCUUGCGGCACUAUUUGCAA
rnacentral:misc_RNA from 1 species